GCCUGGGUGGCUCAGUCGGUUGAGCGUCUGACUUCAGCUCAGGUCAUGAUCUCAAACUCCAGGAGCUCGAGUCCCGUGUCAGGCU
rnacentral:tRNA from 1 species